rnacentral:rRNA from 1 species
UACGUAGGGUGCGAGCGUUGUCCGGAAUUAUUGGGCGUAAAGAGCUCGUAGGCGGUGUGUCGCGUCGGCCGUGAAAACCUGGGGCUCAACUCUGGGCGUGCGGUCGAUACGGGGCAUCACUUUGAGUUCGGCAGGGGAGACUGGAAUUCCUGGUGUAGCGGUGAAAUGCGCAGAUAUCAGGGAGGGAAACACCCGGGUGGGCGAAAGGCGGGGUC